rnacentral:rRNA from 1 species
UUUAACGGCCGCGGUAUUUUGACCGUGCAAAGGUAGCGUAAUCACUUGUCUUUUAAAUGAAGACCUGUAUGAAUGGCAUAACGAGGGCUAAGCUGUCUCCUUUCCCCAGUCAAUGAAAUUGAUCUUUCCGUGCAGAAGCGGGAAUUACCACAUAAGACGAGAAGACCCUAUGGAGCUUAAGACAAAAGGCAGCAAACGUUAAAACCCCUGGACCAACAGAAAUAACCAAGUUAGUGCCUGCCCUUAUGUCUUUGGUUGGGGCGACCGCGGGGGAAAGAAAAUCCCCCACGUGGAACAGGACGUGCUCCUCUAAACUAGAGCCACAACUCUAAUUAACAGAACAUCUGACCAAAAAGAUCCGGUACUACCGAUCAACGGACCGAGUUACCCUAGGGAUAACAGCGCAAUCCCCUUUCAGAGCCCAUAUCGACAAGGGGGUUUACGACCUCGAUGUUGGAUCAGGACCCCCUAAUGGUGCAGCCGCUAUUA